rnacentral:misc_RNA from 1 species
UCUCCGUAGGUGAACCUGCGGAGGGAUCAUUACAGAGUUCACGCCCUACCGGGUAAAUCUCCCCCCCCCUGUUAUUAUUACAUUGUUGCUUUUGCGGCACGCUGGGCUCCGGCCCGGCUACCGGCCCCGGCUGGUAAGCUCCCGCCAAAUCACCCAAAACAUUGAAUUUUCGUCUCGGUUGAAUACAAUAUAAUAAAUAAAACUUUCAACAACGGUUCUCUUUGGUCUGGCAUUGGUGAAGAACGCAGCAGACCGGCACACCUCUGGUCUGCACUCCAC